rnacentral:lncRNA from 1 species
CCUCCUCAGACAGGUCCAAUGCAGAACUCACAUUACCUAAGAAACACAGAUGGUAGUAAGCAUUUAUGAUACACCAACACAGACCUAUAGACCAACUAGUUGCGUGUGCCUGUGAGGUCAACAAUUGGUGAUUGGUACAAGACAGGAAUCAGGAUUGGGACUGAGUCUAGUCCAGUCCGAAUCCGAUAGUCCCACCCGCACCCCCUGUGGAGGUAAGAGGUAGAGAGCACAUGAUGAUGUUGUAUACAAUACUUGGGACAGUAGUCCAAUUCAAUAGUCGAGUAUCGUCAUUGUUAAGUUCAUGAACUGAAAGAACAGUCAAAUAAGUAAUUUGCAUUACCAAACAUAUAAUUGUAAAACAAAGGUAUAUUUGUUAAUUCCCCCCUCCCCUAACUAACUUGUAUAGAGCUGCAAAUUUCUUCCUCAACUUUAAUUUUUGACAAUUACCCUCCUGAAAUUCUCUAAUUAGCCAAUUUUCUCUUUGAAUUUUAAUGCCAAUUAGCCCAUGAACUUUUAUAAAUAGUCAAUUUCUCUAGAUUUUAAAAAAUUCUCAUCCAAUUUUUCAUCUAUUUUGAUCACGUGUAGAAGACGUGACAACUCUAUGAGAGCAAAAAGAAUGGAAAACUAACAACAACAACAACAACAAAAUUUUUUCCCACUAAGUGAGGUCGGCUAUAUAAAUCCUAGAACGUCAUUGCGCUGGGUUCUAUGUCAUGUACUCCAUUAGAUCCAAGUACUCUAAGUCUUUUCUUAGGUCUCUUCCAAAGUUUUCCUAGAUCUUCCUCUACCCCUCAGCUAGAUGAAUGAAAAUUUUAAAAUCUAACCCUAAGCGAAAUUGGCUAUUUAUAAAAUUAGAAAGGGCUAAAGUUAAAUUCAGAAAGAAAUUUGCUAAUUACAAAAGCUUAAGAAGUAAUCAGGAAUAAAUUUGAGGACAAUCCGACAAAUACCUCUAAAACAAAUAAUAUAAAAGGCAGAAAGCCAGCCAAACCAACCUCUACCGGCAUUGUUAACAAGGGCAUCGAUGAGCCCAAACGCGUCCCAAGCCUUGUUCACAGACUUCUCGAUAGCUGGGCCAUCGGCGCUGACAUCCAGCUCCACGGCCACAGCCCUCGGGCCUCCACCAGUCCCACUAUCAGCAACAGAAGAUGAUGAAGAAGGAGCGGUGAUGGAGAGCUGGUUGAUUUGAUCGCACACGGACUGAAGGCGGUCGAUGCGGCGAGCGGCGGCUACGAUUCUGCAGCCGGCUUUAGCUAAGUCUAAGCACAACUCGCGGCCGAGGCCAGAGGAAGCGCCGGUAACCAUGACGACUUUGCCGUGGAGGUGGCUCCAGGGCUCCAGGUUGUCCGACAAUCGAUGAGGAUUCUCCAUGUUUGAUAAUCUGUACUCAACUAUGAGCUAUGAAUUAUAUAGAACAAGGAAGAAGAGACUUACAUGUGAAUGUGUGAUACUGCGAAAUCUUGACCGUUGGUGGCUUCGAUAUGGACGGUCAUGAUUUGGGGUGAUAUAUUUGUAGUUGCUGGACGAAAGCAUGUUUGGUGAGGUAGUCGGCUUGACUUGACCCACUUCGAUUAUAGGAACGGAAAGAGAUGAUAUAUUUGCAGUUGCUGGACAAAAGCACGUUUGGUGGGGUAGUCGGCUUGACUUACCCACUUUGAUGAUAGAAACUGAAAGAGAUCCGUCCGGAUCUCUUUCGCCAAGCUUACCAGAUCAAGUGAUCCAAAAUUUUGAAUUUUCAUCUAAUAGUAAAAAAUUAUUAUAGUUUUUAAGGGAUCAAAAUAGGUGGAUCGUUGAGAAAAAUAAUAUUGGAUGAGAUUAUUCAAAACCCUAUAAUAUAGAAGUUGGCCUCAUCAUCUAGUCCUUCUUGUACGUCGGAUUAUAUUGUCAUUCCUUUUACGGGGCAAGAGAUUUGACAUUUAUGGAUUAAUCAACUACGCUUCUAAACUAGGUUGGACAAACACUCCGAAACCCAAAGCGUCGGAGUGUCGAACAUUCUGACACGCCGACGCGCCUCCAACACAAGUUGAACAUGGUCAAGACACUGGUCAAGGGGCAGGGGCAUUUUUAUAAAUUGAAAAAUAUUUUGAGUCAGUUUUGAAAACAUAAAAACAUUGAAAGAUUUGGGGCAAUUUGGAAAUACAAAAACUAAAGCCUAAAGCCAACCCGUCCUAACCCAACUUCAAUCUCUUAUAUGCGCCUCCUUUCACUUCUCUUCUUCCUCUCUUCGCAACCGAUGCAGCCUCUUCUCUACGGCCUCCACUCCAGUUGCAUUCUAUUUUAGUUGGUUGUUUAAUUUGUUAUUGAGCAUAAAUAUAUAUCUCUUCUUGUUUUUUUUUUUAAAGGGAACAAUUAGUGACAAGUCACGGUUAUACACGUCUUUCGGGAGCCGAAAAGACUCACAUAGUCAUUUCAGCUUCUUCUUGUUUUAAUUAUUAUACUUGUUUUGUUUUAAUUAUUAUACUUGUAUUGUUUUAAUUAUUAUGUUUUGUGUUAUUUUAGUUAUUAUGUAUAAUGAAUGAAUUUGAUAAACACGAUUAUUUUGUUAUAUUAUAAUCCACUAUUAUUUUUAAUAUAUGCAAUAUUUACUAUAAAUUUAGGGGUGUGAUAUCUACACAUCCCUUUUUACUUUUCCCACACAUUUUUUGUUUUCUGUCAUCGGAUGUGAUAAUUGAAGAAAAUCAACGGACAUAAAUUAAUAAGGAGUGUGUGAGAAGUAAAAAGGGGUGUGCCACACACCCCUAAAUUUAUUAUAUUUUAAACAAUGUGUCCAUGUCCUAUUUUUUAAGAUUUGCCAUGUUCCUGUCGCAGUGUCGUUGUAUCCGUGUCCAUAUCCGUGCAACCUUGUAAUAGUGUAGGAUAACUAUUUUGGAGUGGGAAAUGUUUUGCCACUUUAUCCCUUUCAAACUUAAACUUGAAUUUUAACCAUUGCUUGUUAUUGACUAACAUUUUGGGAAUUCCAACUGGAUCAUCAGCUUCUAGACUCUGUAAGCCUCCACCUCCCCAAAGGAAGAAAUGGCAAACAAGUGAGUUCGAGUAUGUAGUGCAGCUACAUCAACACUUGAGCACAACAAACGUUACAUAAGAUCAACCUUUCCACCGUACGUCAGCUACAUCAUGCCUGCCUCUUUUCUUUCUUCAAACAUUGAUUCAUCGUAUCCUUACUUCUUGUGGCCAGUCGACGGGAUUUGGAAAUAUAGCAUGCUUAGUUUGCGUCAAUUUCAAUAGAGAUUCAACACAAUCCAAUCCAUCAUGUUAAAUUCAGAUAAUUUGGACCCCAAAUAGAAUUAUAACUAAAGGAAAUCUGAAGGCAAAGGUAUAGCAGGUUGAUGAAUUGUAUAAGCUCAACUCAAUGUCGAGUGAGUAUUCAUUCACUUCUUUAUAUAGAGUUACAAAAGAUAAGGUUGUUACACUUGAUAAACAUUUGAAUCAGAAAAAUAAAUACAAACAGGUUGAAUCAGAUACAAACUGACACGCCCCGACCCUGAUAUUCCCCGAAUACCAGGACCGACACGUGCUGGCCGACACCCGGGGGUGACGAAAGCCAUUAAUUGAUACAAAAGCUAAGAAUAAGAAAUAAAUACAGGUUAUGAAUUUAAAAACAAUGAAUUAACAAUUUAGGAACGUGUUCAGAGCAUACAACUAAACCUAGUCACUAACAAGAAUUAAGAUAAGAUUAAAUGAACAAAGGAGUGGGUCCUACCCCGAGAGGACUCGAAGAUGCCGCUGCGGAAGUACCUUAAUGCCAGGAUUCUAUGCCUCGUUUCUAAGACCUGAAUGGGGGCGCAAAACAAGGGUGAGUGGACCAAGUUUAUAUACAUACAUAGUACGAAAACAGUUAUGAACAUACUAACCCCCACAGUUUAAUAAUGAAAACUACUAGAAUAAUAAGUGAUAAGCUUUUCAGAAACCUUUAGCAUGCCAUAAAACAAUUCAUAUAUCCAUCUGCAAAUCAAUCUCAGAAAAUCAUAUCAGAAAUUAUCUCAGCAAUCAUGUCAGGAAGCAUAACACAAGUUGUGCUGCUAGUGAGUGCACUGAAUAACAAUACUCCCGGCCCAAUGCCUGCACCUCAGUCUCUGUGCCCGUAGCCAGAGAUAUCUCCCUCCCGGCCCAAUGCCUGUCUCCGUGUCCCUCAGCCUUUCGCUAGGGAUUAUUUCUCCCGGCCCCAAUGCCAACACCAGAUCCUCGCCCCAGGCGGCAUAGUGUUCACUAGGUACGCACAAAACAUAAUUCAUCUCUAAAAUACAACUUCGUAGCAUAAAUUCAUCGAUCCUCUAUACUACGAAGAGGUGUUCGAAAGUCAUUUGAAACACAUUCUUAGCAUCCUAUCGUCAUCGAUCAGAUAGUCUACUAGAAUGAGGGUUCUAUAGAAAAUACAAUAUAAUGAAAAUAAUUCAAAACAUAUAUAUAAUCACGUAUAAUCAAAUCAUCAUGCUUCCUGUAAAGUAUUUCUCAAAUCAAUAAUUCUGCAAGGCAUGCUAUUAAAUUAUGCAUUUCUAUCAAUAAAACAUGCAAUUUUCGAAGGUGGUCCACUCACAGAUACUCCGAAGCAGCAGAAUUGUGUGCAAAAAGAUUAAGGAAGUCUCCACUAGCAACUUCACCUAAGCACGAAAAUGUACAAUUUAAUAAACUACCCAAAAGAUAGAAUUUUAGGAAAUGGAAAUGGGUUUUGGGUUUGGGUAGGUUAGGAACAAGAGGGAGUUUUAGGCUUAAGCCUAAACCCACCCUUAUACACACACGGCACACACACCACACAUUCACACACAUACCUACACCACACAUACUCCCAGAGCUGCACCGCACAACGCACACACUGUACACUUCAUAUAGUACACAAACAUACACAACACACACGUGCACCAUACACCAACAUGCCAAACACACCCACAGACAGCAUGCACAUAUAUAUAUAUAUAUAUAUAUAUACAAAUAUACACACAGAGGCAACAUGCAUAUAUAUAUAUAUAUAGAUACAUACAUAUAAACACACACGCAUGCACAGCAUGCAUAUAUAUAUAUAAGCACACACACGCACAGCAAGCAUACUUACACACACACACACACACGGUUCACGCACACACACUUGCACAACGUACACACUGCACAAACACACACUCACGAACUCGCCGGAGUUCGUCGUCGGAACCGGACAUGCAUGCACAAGGGAUGGUAAGAGUUAGGGCUUGAAUAAGGGGUUCUAAAACUUCACAAAUAUACCUAAGAACUCACCUGGACGCACUGCAGCAGGUUUUGGGAAGAGAUGGACCUCGAACUCGUCGGAGUUCGUCGUCGGAGCUAGAUUAUUAGCACAGAGAAAAACUGAGAUCAAAACCCUUGAGUUUUGUCAUAAACUCAUCAUGCACAACCCAGAAAUUUGAAGAAGGAACACAAUCCUCACCUGGGUUCGCGUGUUAGAGCUUUGAAGCUCUCGGCUUCAAUGGCAGAAAAGUCCACAGUGCUCUGAUGGCGCAUGCAAGGGUAUCGUUGAGUUCGUUAAGUCUCAAGGAUCCCAAAUAUAUGGUUUUGGGGUUUGAUUUGUGAGGGAAGUGAGGUGAAAGCUAGAGAGAAGCUCUCGGAGCUUAGAGAGUGUGAGAAAGAGAGAGAAGAAACCGAAAGAAAGAGAGCACUGAGAUUCUCAGAUGUGUUUCGGGCAGAGAUGAAAGGAAAGAGGGAUCUGAGAGCUGCCACAUGGCAGUUUAAGAUCAAUAGCCUUUCUAGAUCAAGGGUUAGGAUUAAAAGAGAAUAAGGGACUAAAUUGAUAGAUAACAAAUAUGUUCUAGGGGAAAAUAGAAAUAGAAUGAAAAAUGGGGGUGGGGUAUAACACAAACAUAUUUGAGAGAGUUGUGCGGAUAAUGGACUGUGUUGUUAUGAUCCUUUCUGUUGCAGAUUGCAGCGGGAAGGUUGUGGUUGAAUUGGUGGUGCUGACUUGGACCUUUCUUUAGGGUUUGGAGAUUUAUCUGAACUAGGUUUGUCAAUAACCACCUUUUAAAUUUGCUAUAAUUAUAACCAAAAAUUGAUAUAGAAGUUAACAUUAAGGGGGCGUUUGUUGUACCGGACUGUCUUAGACUGGACUAGCUUCAAGGACUAAGCUGGACUGGCUUAGACUAGACUAAGCUGGAUUAACUUAGUGAAGCGUUUGGUGCAGUGUCGGACUAAAAAACAGGAUAAUUAACAAAACUGAAAAAUUAUAUUAUUUUAAAGCAUAUCUAGAAUAUUUUAUAUUAAUUCUUCCUCUCUCUUUUUUUCUUCUAGAAACCCUUUUUCUAGAAUGCUCCAUCUUCUCUGCCUCACCACUCCCCCUUUUUUCUCCAUCCGUCUCAAUCCUCUCUGCCUAUUGAUUGUUUCCUUCAGCCAUCUAUUGCUUUCAUGGAAUCCCGUUUCCAAAAAAAUCAACCAAUGAAACACCUUUCAAAAUCCCAUCUCCUUUCAUGCAAUUCCCCAGUUCUUACUAAUUACCAUUCCAUUUUCUUUUGUUUUCUCUUUCAAUUUUCUAGCCAACCAAACACCUUUCAAAAUCCCUAAUUCCAAAUAAUUGCUCACCUUGUCUGGCGUACCAGAUUCAGAUUAUGGUCCACUGAAAACAAGAGUCAAAAAUUGAAUUCCCACAACAGAACGUGACUGGUGGGGAAAGAAUCAACGGAAGCAGGGUGGUUGGUAAGUGAAAAUUAAGGGUGUUUCUAGGAGAGAGCGAUGUAUGUAUGUGUGCGAUCUGAGAUACCAAAAGACCCAGAUCGUGGAAGACCCCAAAUCACCGAACCCAGAUGAAAAAAAUCCUUAUUUUCGAGGAUUGAGAUCUUGUAAGUUGGAAUGAUGCACAAGGUUUGGAUGAGGAAGAAGAUGAAAAUGGUUGUGGGAGCGAAGAAGAAGAAGCAGGGGCGAAACGAAAGAGGCUGAGCGGAGAUGGUCUUAGCGAGCCCCGUGGUUUGUGGAGGGUCUCGCUAAGAACUUCUAGUGAGGCUUCUAAUCCACGCGAGUCCCCUUUAGUCCCAUUUAACUUAGUCCCAAUACAAACCAAACAUAGGACUGUAGUCCAGUCUAGUCCAGUCCUAGUUAAUGAGGCCAAACAAACGCCCCCUAAAGGUCUUCUGCAAGAACCAACAAGCAAAAUUAAAACGAACAUCGGGUGUCUACAUCUUAGUGACACUUAUAAGCUUCUUGUUGUUAGUAAAGGAAGGCAUUUUUCUGGUGUGGUUGCAGAAAAAUGGAUUGGGAAGGACUCUUCGAAAGUUGGGGAAGAUUUGAAGGUCUUGCUGUCACAGUCUGCUACUCGAGGGCUUGAGCAAUCACCAAGCGCUUUGUAUGAGGGGUUGGAGGAAGAAAGAAAUGCUUCUACAAUCGCUUCAGAUCAAACAAUGGCCAUGAUUACAAAACUGCAAGAGAAGAAGGCAGUCCUGUUGUGCCUUGGCCCGUUCAUUAGUGCGGAAACGAGAUUCAGAUUACAACCACACCUAAAAUCACACCCAGUUAAACAGAAUAAAAUACAAGAAAUAAAGACAACGAGAAAUUUACGAGGUUCGGCAAAAACCUGCCUACGUCCUCAGAGAGAUAUUGCUCUUCACUAUGAGAAAAACAGUACAAGUUACACAUAAGUUAAAUCGACAUAACCCAAUCCCAUAUCCCUUGUACACCCACUCACAGAAUUUUCCCAAGAGCCUCACUCUACCCCAAGAGUUCUUUCACUAGAGACCUUUCACUCUAGCUCUCUUGAUUUUUCUCACCCGUGCCCAUACUUUCCCAUGGGAGAGCCGAAUGCUCUCCCCCUUGGAUGCUCUCUCAUGCCCUCUCAAGAGAGAGCCGAAUGCUCUCUCUCUCUCUCUCCUUCUCCACUUCGGCUCCUUGCAAUUAAAUGGACAGAAAAGUGAGUUAACUUCUCCUUUUUUUCAUAGACACAAUGAUGAUCCAUCAUGCUCCCUUUUCUCAAAACCCAAAACCACUUUCGGCAUGCAAAUGGGAAAUGAAUAAAAAAUGCCAAAACAAAAGGAAUCCCAUGAAACAUCAUCAUUGUCUUCCACUAUUAGCCAAAAUGAGAUAUGGACAUAUUUGGCCACUAUUCCGAAAGCAUAACACACAAAGUCACUUAAUUGUUAACAGCUCAAAAUAUGAGCCAAUCACAACAAUCUCCACCUUGGCGAAUACACCAUGCAAAAAUCCUUGCACCCAUCACCAAAGUCCAUUGGCCUUACGUACCAGCAUGCACACUCUGAAUCCACCUCAUUGGUCCUGUUCCGAUUCAGUCACUGCCAAUGCAUGUGAAGCUGCUGCAAGCUAAAAAUCACAAUUUAGCUUCAGACAGGAUCUCGACACAUCCUCGUCUCCUCCAACAGUUUUUUUUUCCCCUUCUUUAUUGUCUGCAACUUGGAAACUCGUCAGUGCACCCGUUUCCAGCAACAACCCAUCGAGCCAGACAAAAUUCCCCACACUUCUCUUCCUUCAGGACCAUCUCAUCACCUGUGAAUCCCUUAGCUCCACCUGCUGCAAAUCCCUUGCAACACUCGAGACUAAACAUCACCAAGAGAAGUGUUGCUUCGAGUACCUAGAGGGCAUACUCGAAGUCUUCCACCACAAACUUGCUACAACUCGGUCUAGCACCUGUAGCACUGUGGACCCUUGCCUCCGGAACCGGAUCUGAACCUGCUGUCUCUCUCAGAUCCUCUUUCCAAUUUUCUUCCACGAUUCCAACCUUUAAUAACUUAAGGAGUCUUGUGCCCACCAUUAUCCAUGGUCUCCUUUGUGUAUCAUUCCACACCAAAGAAGCUUGCACCUGCUCCAAACUUACUGUAACUUUCCAUGCAGUAAAGUUUCACAAGGUUAUAAGACAAAUCUGAAAGUGAGGUAAGAAGAAAGAGGCCUUUGUCUUCUUCCUCAACAUCAACUUUCGUAGUUGAUCUAAGCAUCCCUGAACACGGCUUCCAUUUCUUCAGGCUUCCAUUACUCUCCAUUACCAAGAGUAAAAUUGCCUCUCCCUUUAAACUGCUCAACUGAAAAUUCCAUGGUGAACAACAAAUCUGGACCUCCAACGAACCAAGCUUCCAACGAGCUCUGAUACCAAUUGUUGUGCCUUGGCCCGUUCAUUAGUGCGGAAACGAGAUUCAGAUUACAACCACACCUAAAAUCACACCCAGUUAAACAGAAUAAAAUACAAGAAAUAAAGACAACGAGAAAUUUACGAGGUUCGGCAAAAACCUGCCUACGUCCUCAGAGAGAUAUUGCUCUUCACUAUGAGAAAAACAGUACAAGUUACACAUAAGUUAAAUCGACAUAACCCAAUCCCAUAUCCCUUGUACACCCACUCACAGAAUUUUCCCAAGAGCCUCACUCUACCCCAAGAGUUCUUUCACUAGAGACCUUUCACUCUAGCUCUCUUGAUUUUUCUCACCCGUGCCCAUACUUUCCCAUGGGAGAGCCGAAUGCUCUCCCCCUUGGAUGCUCUCUCAUGCCCUCUCAAGAGAGAGCCGAAUGCUCUCUCUCUCUCUCUCCUUCUCCACUUCGGCUCCUUGCAAUUAAAUGGACAGAAAAGUGAGUUAACUUCUCCUUUUUUUCAUAGACACAAUGAUGAUCCAUCAUGCUCCCUUUUCUCAAAACCCAAAACCACUUUCGGCAUGCAAAUGGGAAAUGAAUAAAAAAUGCCAAAACAAAAGGAAUCCCAUGAAACAUCAUCAUUGUCUUCCACUAUUAGCCAAAAUGAGAUAUGGACAUAUUUGGCCACUAUUCCGAAAGCAUAACACACAAAGUCACUUAAUUGUUAACAGCUCAAAAUAUGAGCCAAUCACAACAAGUCCUCCAUAUGGAAGCACUCCAGCAACUAAGAAUGAUGGAAGAGCAAGCUGAGUACGAUAAUGAAGCGCUGCAAAAGACAGACAACUUCUUGUCGAGAAGGAGAAGGAAAUACAAGAUUUAGAAGCAGAGCAGAAGGCACUCCAUGCAUACUGAGAGUUUCUUGAACACACGAUUAACCCGAUUCUCAUUUCUCUUCAAUAUUUAGCAUACCCUAGACAGAAUUGCACCGUUACAGUUUGAAGUUUGCUUUCUAAGUAUUCUUCUCUCUAACAUUUGCUGAAAUUGGUAUUCUGUCAAGUUUUCUGUUUUGAUAUCAAUUGUGAAGAAUGAAAUUCCAAAACAUUUUAUCAUACUUGCUUAGGCUAUGUGUUCCUCAACAAGCAUGCAAGCCAAGCUAAGGUAAGCUACCAAUGUUAUGUGAGACCUACUUCAUACAAGACAACGAGAUGACAGCAAGAGGAGAAUGCACGAGAGAAAAACUUGAAACCGAAAACAACUUCAAAUGUUUUUCGAUUUUGAUUUCUAGUUCUCAUGCACUGUACCAUUUUGUCGUAUACAUUUCUUCCACCAUCCUUCCUCCACUCAUCUUCAUACUUCAUUUUUUAUUUUUGUCUUCAAGUAGGCAUUCUACGGCUAAUGUGUUGGAAAAAGUUAUGAAAAUUUGCUAUAUAUUUUAUUAUAAAUUAUUAAAUAAUACACAAUAAAAUCUCUAUAAAUGCAAGAAGAACAAGGAAUGGAAGAACCUUAAGAGAUUGAGGGUAGAAUUUGAUUCUAUAACCUUAAGACAAGAUUGCCCCUCAGUGGUGCCUCAAGGUUUGCGUUGGCAAAUGUCUCUCAGGAUACAAUGAUCUUUCUCUUUGCGGAAGUAGCACUCGAAUCCACAAAGAACAGCGAACCAAAAGUGUUUAAAACUCUCUCUUUGUUGAACACUAAACUACUCUAAUUUCUAUAUGAUUUCUGAAUGCAAAGCAUAUUUAAAAUGCUUGACUUGGUGGUCUAUUUAUAGGCUUUGGCAUGCCCCUUUUCCAAAGGUUGUAUCUGCUUCCAAAAGGCAAAGGACGCAACCCUUAUUCAAGAUUACAUCUGCAACCGAAACACAAGGGUUGCGUUUGAUUUCUCAUAAGACAAAGAUGCAACCUUUUCCAAAGUUGCAUCUGUUUUCAAACUGACAAAGGUUGUGACCUUUGUUCAAACAUGCAUAACCCUUGAAAACUGCCGGUCAAACCCAUCCAUGACUAUUUUAAUUUCCAUUUUAAUUUCCAUUCACUUGAACAUUAAAAUUUAAAUAUUAAUAAUACUAAUAUUUAAAUAUUAAAUUUCUAACAUAAUGAAGAAAAAACUGUAAACAGUAAACUAAAAAAUGCACAUAGAAACCUAAUAGUAAGCCAACAAAAAUGAAUUCAGCCGUACAUUCUAUUAUUCUUGAAUCUUCAACUUGCCAGGGGUGGUACAAUAUAUAUUUGUUGUACGUUUGUUUAUUUCUCUACUCUUUUUUGUUCCACAUGAAAAUAAAUCUACAUGAAAAUUCAGAGGGAAGAGAAAAUAGGAACACCCGGCAAGGAGGUUCCUGCAUCAACAAUAUAAAUGUUGCCAGAGACAUAUUCAGAAGAGUCAUGUACCAAAUAUCGAACUAGCGAUGUCAAUGCUGGAUCUGAAGUGCCAAAUGUUCUUAAAGGGACAAUUUUCAUAGCCACAUUGUGCAGCCAGUCUUUUUGCAUAAGACGCUCCGUAAUUUCCGAUCUGAAAAGUCCAAGUGAUAUUGCAUUCACUCUGAUUUUGUGUACCCCCAGCUCCAUAGCCAUAGUCUGGUUAACAUAACAAGAUUCAGUAUAGUACCAUAGAAGCUUUCACCUACACUACCAAGUGCAGAGAACUACAGAACAUAUUCCUUAGGAGAAUACUCAUAAUCAAAUAUAGAUAAUGACACUUAUAAGAGAAGAAGAGAAGAAGAAAAGAAUAAGCAAAGGUAGUGUCGGUGACAUGACAAAGUUGAGGAUAAAAUCUUAAAAUGGCAACUGAUAAACCAGCAGUUAAAAUGUAAAACUUCGUUUGAAGUUAGACCAUCAAUUCAUAUGUCAUUCCCAGAAAUCCUCCGGUGCAACAAAAAGCAAAAUGUGGUUGAGUGCGAUAACACGUUGGUCAAAACAGUCUGUUGGUUAUACGACAAUAGAGCCGCUCGGACCAUGAGCUUGUGAUAACCACAGCCUUGCGUCAACACACUUUAUUGACGGAUGAUAACAGCACAUGAAGAUGACAAGCAUUUUGGCAAUCAGACUUAGAACUAACGAACUAAAGAGACCAAGAAUCAAAACCGGCUUAUAAUGGGGGUGAUAGAAUUUGGGUCGACAAGCCAAGGACCCCACUCCAACAACACUGAUAUUGUCCCCAACUUGGUAAUUACCACUUGCCCAAUCCAUCAGGUGUGGGAUUUUAUCACAAAAGGUCUCAGUACUAGUUAGAGUAGGGUAAUCAUAUUUAAACUAUUUUCUUUCUUCUUUCCCUCACCUAUGUGGGAUAGCCAACAGGGGGCAUAAGAGAAAAUACACGGUAUAGCCCAUAGGCCCACUAGCAAUAUUCCUCCACUAGACUAAAAAAGAACUAAAAUACUCCUAGGCUGAUUUCGGUCCUAAGUCUAUUUUUCCCAGGAAACUGUUAUUGACACUCCAAAAAAGUCAUCUCGUACAAUUUAUGCCUUAUAUUUCCCAGGAGGCAGGCAUCCCUUCAAGUUCUUAUAUUUCAUUUAUAGACCAAAAGUAACAAAAACAUAAUUCCUUUUCCUUACGCAAUUAAUAUGAUUUUCCCGAUUAGCAUGUUAAAGAUAAUACCUUUGUUAAGGUGUUUACACCAGCCUUUGAACAAUUGUAUGCUGUAGCUCCAGGCGCAAAUCCACGAUUAAGACCAGUAAUGGAAGAUAUAUUGACGAUUGACCCUCCCUGAUCAGCAUCUCGCAUGCGUAUAGCAACAAACUUUGAUACCAACCAGGAACCCGUCAAAUUUGUCCUGAAAACAUUAUUCCAUUCCUCCUCAGACAGUUCCAAUGGAGAACUCACAUUACCUAAGAAACACAGAUGGUAGUAAGCAUUUAUGAUACACCAACACAGACCUAUAGACCAACUAGUUGUGUGUGCCUGUGAGGUCAACAAUUGGUGAUUAGUACGGGACAGGAAUCAGGAUUGGGACUGAGUCUAGUCCAGUCCGAAUCCGAUAGUCCCACCCGCACUCCCUGUAGAGGUCAGAGGUAGAGGGUACAUGAUGAUGUUGUAUACAAUACUUGGGACAGUCGUCCCAUUCAAUAGUCCAGUAUCGUCAUUGUUAAGUUCAUGAACUGAAAGUAAUUUGCAUUACCAAAAAUAUAAUUGUAAAACAAAGGUAUAUUUGUCAAUUCCCCCCUCCCCUGAAGGUUUAGGAAGAAAUUUGAGGACAAUCCGUCAAAUACCUCUAAAACAAAUAACAUGAAAGGCAGAAAGCCAAGCCAAACCAACCUCUAAUACCGGCAUUGUUAACAAGGGCAUCGAUGAGCCCAAACGCGUCCCAAGCCUUGUUCACGGACUUCUCGAUAGCUGAACCAUCGGCGCUGACAUCCAGCUCCACAGCCACAGCCCUCGGGCCUCCUCCAGGCCCAUUAUCAGCAACAGAAGAUGGUGAAGAAGGAGCGGUGAUGGAGAGCUGGUUGAUUUGAACGCACACGGACUGAAGGCGGUCGAUGCGGCGAGCGGAGGCUACGAUUCUGCAGCCGGCUUUAGCCAAGUCUAAGCACAACUCGCGGCCGAGGCCAGAGGAAGCGCCGGUGACCAUGACGACUUUGCCGUGGAGGUGGCCCCAGGGCUCCAGGUGGUCCGACACUCGAUGAGGAUUCUCCAUGUUUGAUAAUCUGUUGUCAACUAUGAGCUAAGAAUUAUAUAGAACAAGGAAGAAGAGACUUCCAUGUGCAUGUGUGAUACUGCUAAAUCUUGACCGUUGGUGGCUUCGAUAUGGACGGUCAUGAUUUGGGGUGAUAUAUUUGCAGUUGCUGGACGAAAGCAUGUUUCGUG